rnacentral:rRNA from 1 species
AUGUGGUACCUUCGGAAGGGAGUGGUGCUAACCAAAGAUAACCUCCCUCGUUGCAACUGGCAUGGAAGCAAGAAGUGCGGCUUUUGUACUCAUGACGAGACAAUCAGACAUCUCUUUUUCCAGUGCAAGUUUGCAUGUUCUACAUGGUCAAUCAUCCAAAUAGCGUCUAAUCUUUGUCCGCCCAUAGGUGUUGCCAAUAUUUUUGGUCACUGGCUGGAUGGUAUUCCUUAUAGAUUCAAAACGCUAAUAAGGGUGGGAGCGUAUGCCUUAUUAUGA